rnacentral:rRNA from 1 species
GACGAACCGUGCGAACGUUAUUCGGAAUCACUGGCUUAAAGCGCGUGUAGGCGGGAGGGAACGUCGGCCGCUGAAAUCCCCGGCGUUCUAACCGGGGAAGUGGCGCCGAUACGGCCCUCCUGGAGGGACGUAGGGGGAGCUGGAACUUCCGGUGGAGCGGUGAAAUGCGUUGAGAUCGGAAGGAACGCCCGCGGCGAAAGCGAGCUCCUGGACGUCUGCUGACGCUGAGAGACGAAAGCUAGGGGAGCGAAUGGGA